rnacentral:lncRNA from 1 species
CCCAGGAAUCUGUAUUCUUGAUGAAAACCUUCAGAAAAUUCCUUUGCAGCUAGUCGGGGGAUCCCCACACAGAACCGUUAUUUUCAAAAGCCAACCAUUCAUCAAGAGGACAUCUGGAAUAAUUUUAAGUGGCAUGUCUAACAGGCAUACAGCUGGAAGAUUUUAGAACAGAACUUACUCUGUAGACAUAUGCAGCAAAUAAGAAACACGUGACUAUAUGAAUAAACAGUGAGCCCUGACAUGACAUGAUGAGACUAGGAUUCUCCGAAGAUGUUGCUGAGUUUGUUUUCUCUUGGCCAUCUACUGCUGGCUGUGUAGCCUACCCUUAAGAGUAGCUUGAUUGCCCCAGUGAGACUCCUUUGGAGGAAAGGAAAUUCUCCUUUGCAAGUGGAUAUCAAUGAGAGAUAGCUUCCGGUUCAGGGGCAGGGGCGAGUGUCCACUCCCUUCAGCUCUGGUGCACACCUGUGCAUGUCCUGUGCUUGCCACCUCAGUCUUGGGUUCCCUGAGCCCCAAGGGGAAGUGUUUGAUGGAGAUACACCACUAUGGCUGAGUGUUCUGAGAUCUCUCAUUCUCUGAAUAUUGUCUGGCUCUGUAAUGAAAACCUUAAGGCACCAAAGAAAGAAAUUAAAGAAGAAACUAGAUGAAAAACACUGUACAUUCUGAAGAUUUCUUCACAUAUUUACCGACUAUUGAUUACUUUUCUUUUGAGAACUGUCUGUUCCUCUGUCCAUUUAUGGAUUGGGUGUAGACAUUUUUCUUGUUUAAUAUUUACUUUUUUUAGUUCUUCAUAGAUUCUAGUUGCAAAUUCCCUGUCAAAUGGCAAAGAUUUUCCUCCUUUUCAGGGGCUAACUCUUCACUCCAUUGAUAAUUUCAUGUAAUUCUCUUUGCUAGUCCCUGGUAUCAUUUGGAGUCUUGUUUCAAAGGAAAGACUGUCCAUGUUUAUCCAAAGCAAUACUAACUUGAAAUAGCAAUGUUGAGACCACACCAAUACCUGACCUCAAACUAUACUACAGGGCCAUAGUGACACAAUACCAUAGUAAUGACACAAAAACAGACACAUAGGCCAAGGUAAUAGAACAAAGGACGGGGGGGGGGGGGCGCGUGAAGCCUAUGUUGCUACAACUAAACAUGCCAAAAAUACAUUUUAAAAAAUAGGGCUGGGGAUAGUAGAUCUCUACAUGCAGAAUGAAUCUAGGUCCAUGCCUCCAACAUUGCAAAAAAAUCAAUUCAAAAGGAACCAAAGUCCUGAAACUCCAAAAUAGUCAAGGAAAGCAGUCAGAGCCGCUCACAAUGCCGCACAGGUGAGGACUCUCUGAAAAGAGUCCUCAUGGCACAGGAGAUCAUUCUAAGAGUCCACAAGUGAGACUGCAUACUAUUGAAAAUCUUUUUGUAGUAAAUAAGCUACCAUCAGAGUGUGAUAAGACAGCCCACAAAAAGGAGAAAAUCUUUGCCAAUUAUACCUUUGACAGAGGAUUAGUAUCUAGAAUCUGCAAAGAACUCAAAAAACUAAAUACCAAAACAAUAAAAAAAUAAUAAAUACACAUCUAUUGAAGAAACAAUUCUCCAAGAAUAAACAUGGGGGUUGGGGUGUAUUUCCAUUAGUAGAGUAUGUGUCUAGCAUGCACAAGGCCCUGGUUCCAUUCCCAGCACCACAAGAAGAAGAAGGAGAACAAGAACAACAAAUGAUUAACAAAUAUAAGAAGAAAUGCCCAGAAUCCUGAGCUACCAAGGAAAUGCAAAUUCAAACAACUUUGAGAGCCCAUCUCACCUAAGUCAGAAUGACUAUCAUGCAGAUGAAGAUGUGACAAGAGAGGAAACUGUACACUGCUGAUAGGAAUAUAAACUGAAACAGCCAUUGUGAAAAUCAAUGCAGAUGAUUUUAAGUUACAAAAAAAAAAAAAAAAAGAAACAAAACUAGUCUGACCCAGAUGUCCCAGCUGAUUAUAUACCCAAAGGCAUAUAAAUCAGAAAGCCACAGAGAAACUUACUCAUGCACGUCUAAUUCUGCUCUCUUCACAAUAGCUAAGACAUAGAGGCAACAUAUAUGCCCAUCAGUGAAUGACUACUGUGGUAGUUUGAAUGUAAUUGGUCUCCAUAAGUUCAUAGGGAGUGGCACUACUGGGACAUGUGGCCUUGGUGAAGAAAGUGUGUCACUGUGAGGGCAGGCUUGUGUGUGGAUGGAAUAGAAUGGUAACUAUUUGUCUAAAGGGACUGUGAAACAAAUAAAGGGAAUGGGAAGUGAAAGAAAAAUGUCACUGCUUCUCUUAUACACGGAAUCUAACAUAUAUUUACAUAUAAAUGUCAAACAGAGCUGAGUGUGCAUGAUCUUUCUUACCAAACCUUUAGGUUACAUGAACUUUUGCUCCUAUGAAACCAUUCAAUCUGGGUCUGGCAAUGAAAGCUUCAUCUGUCCCACACAAAAACCGUAGCCAUCACAAUAACAGCUAGCAG